GGGGUUGUGGCUUAGCGGUAGAGCGCUCACCUAGCACGGGCGAAGCCCUGGGUUCCAUUCCCAACACCACA
rnacentral:tRNA from 1 species